UACGUAGGUGGCAAGCGUUGUCCGGAAUUAUUGGGCGUAAAGCGCGCGCAGGCGGUCCUUUAAGUCUGAUGUGAAAGCCCACGGCUCAACCGUGGAGGGUCAUUGGAAACUGGGGGACUUGAGUACAGAAGAGGAAAGUGGAAUUCCAAGUGUAGCGGUGAAAUGCGUAGAGAUUUGGAGGAACACCAGUGGCGAAGGCGACUUUCUGGUCUGUAACUGACGCUGAGGCGCGAAAGCGUGGGGAGCAAACAGG
rnacentral:rRNA from 1 species